AGUCACUGACCACUCUGGCUAAAACAGGUCCAGCAACUGGCCCAUCACCUGCUACUUCUUUUUCCUCCAUAGCAUGGGUCACUGCUCAACGUGACAUUGCCUCUCUGUUUGUGCAUUUAUUUCUUGUCUCUCCUGCCAGGCAGGGAGCUGGUCUAUUUGAUCUCAGCUUUGUCCUCGGUGCCUAGACUAAUGCCUGGAGCUCAGGAGAUUCAACGUAAUUCAGCGAGGAAGAAAACCACAGUGCCCAGCAGAUCUGGCUAAAGAAACUGAAACCAUGGAUGUUCCAGAUCCAAUACUGACAAUCACAGAGGCUUCCUGAAAGAGGAGAGACCAGCUAGCUCCUGAGACAAGUGAUGUGAUGAAGAAAGGAAAGGAUGGACCCAAUCUUCGCAUGCAGAUUUGAUACAUUCCUUACUUACCCUGAGUGUUCCAGAUUGCGGUUGAAUUCCACGGGGACCUCACCUCAUUAACACAAGCCCAGGCACAGAGGAGUGUGCAGUGAAUAUUGCCAACCACAGGAGAUCUGGUCACCCUGGACUGAUUUCCCACGUGACCU
rnacentral:lncRNA from 1 species